AAUAAAGGUCUUUUAUAUGAAGUUGGUGGCUGGAGUUUUUUGAUGUUUAUGGAUACUGAAGAGACCUGGCAAGUCUACUACUCCGUGCCCCACUAAAAGAACGUACAGGUGUGCUGUUCCCACUAUUUUGAAUUUAUUGAAUAUUCCCUGUGGUUUCUAGUUACGCCUCUGGCCUGGAGUAAAUUUUUCUCUGCUUUCUUAGACCUUCUUCUCCUUUUGUUUCAUUUUCUUGGGUUAUGUGUAUCCCCUGGUAAAUUGGAGAUGGAUCCCGUUAAAACUAAAGCCAUAAUAACCUGGCCUGUUCCUUCAACAAAAGAGGGUGUACAAUGCUUUCUAGGCUUCUAUCAUUUUUACCGGAAAUUCACACGAGAUUUUUCAAAAUUAGUUCAGCCCAUUACAGUAUUAACCAAAAAAGACACCAAAUUCUUCUGGUCACCACAGGCACAAAGGGCAUUUGAAGAAUUAAAGAGGUUAUUCACCUCUUUCCCUAUACUAAUAUUACCCAUGGUCAAUCAACCCUAUUUCCUGGAGGUUGAUGCUUCAGAAACAGCUGUUGCAGCAAUAUUAUCACAAUGUGCUGGUCCAAAGAAUUUAAUACAUCCUGUGGCAUAUUUCUCUCGCUCCUUAUCUUCAGCAGAAAGAAAUUAUGAUGUUGAAGAUAGAGAGUUAUUGGCAAUAAAAUUGGUGCUAGAAGAAUGGAGACAUUUAUAGGAAGGUACCAGUCAUCAAGUAACCAUUUAUACUGAUCAUAGGAAUCUGGAAUAUUUACAGUCUGCAUGAAGAUUAAAACCCAGGCAAGCAAGGUGGGCUUUGUUCUUUAGUUGUUUUUCUUUAAUCAUAACUUACAGACCUGGUUCAAGCAAUGGUAAGGCCGAUGCACUAUCCCAUAUGAUCAGUGGCGUAUUAAGCUUUUGUGCUGCCCUAGGCACUCAAAAUUCUGCUGCCCCCCUACCUUCCCCACCCCAAGGUUUUAGGCCUUUUUUAACCAUAAUAUUUCAUGCUAUUUCCAAAGAAAAUGUUAUAAUCCACUACUGGAGCUGUCUGCUACUGGGAUAAAAACUGCUGAAAUGUCACACAGACACAAUAUAUGACAAUAUAUAGAAAGAUGUAAUUUUAUAUAGUGAAAGUAAUUAGAGACAAAAACAGUGACGGGUGGUAAAGUUUUGAGAUAGUGAGCACCUAGGCUCCUCUCAAACUCUACAACUGUGAAACCCAACCACUGUACCUGCUUCAUAUUGUAACAUCUGCACACAAAUACAUAUAAACACACAUCUAUAUUCACAAUUUCCACACUGCAAUCAAAUCAUCACUAAAUUACAUUCCCUAUGCAUAAUGCAAGCAAAUCCUUUAUUUGAAAACUUAUGGCGAGAUUACGAGUUUGGCGUUAACAGGGGUGCGGGGCUAACAAGGCUUUUUUUUUACUAACACUACCUUAAGCCAACGCUGGUAUUACAGGUUUUUUUAAACCUGACGUUAGCCGCAAAAAGGUGAUCGUAGAGCAGAAUUUAGCUCCACAUCACACCUCAAUACCAGCGUUGCUUACAGUAGCGGUAAGCUGGCUAAACGUGCUCGUGCACGAUUUCCCCAUAGGAAACAAUGGAGCUGAGCUAACACCUGCAAAAAAGCAGCGUCCAGCUUCUAACACAGCCCCAUUGUUUCCUAUGGGAAAAUAAAAAAUAUGUCUGCACCUAACACCCUAACAUAAACCCUGAGUCUAAACACCCCUAGUCUUACACUUAUUAACCCCUAAUCUGCCGCCCCCGCUAUCGCUGACACCUACAUUAUAUUAUUAACCCCUAAACUGCCGUUCCGGACACCGCUGCCACCUACAUUAUCCCGUAUGGAGGACCACUUGUGCCUGACUGGGUGAAGACGGCUCAAGUCAGCUCUCUGUACUGCCGUUCACGCAUACACAGUUGCGCUUCACGGACGCCCUGGAGACUGACGAUGGCUUGUCACGGUGGAGGUUGUGGGUGAUAAAGGGUUUUUGUUUUAAGAAUCUGACAUUGAAUUUGUCAGACAACAAAGGGGUUAAAAUUGAAAGGCAAUAGAUUUCUCCACAUCCCUCCUCCCCUCACAGUCUUCAGGAAUAUAAAAGAACGGUAAAGACUCCUGUUUUGAAAUCAUAUAAACUUCAUUGGAAGAAGAUAGGAAGCCGGCAGGUUUGUGGAAUACACAAGAUGAAUCUAUCCAUUGUUGGAGUUCUAUUUCUAUUGUUAUGUGUCCAGAGUAGAUCUGUACGAAAUGAACGUUGGAACACGUUGGACCAGUCUGAGAAUAGAGAUCUGUUUCUAAGUGCCUUACAGGCAUAUUUUAGCAGACGAGGGAUCCACGUUGACAGAACUGCUCCUUCAUUUAUUAUCCUCUCCACAAAACUUCGAAAUAUCCGUGAUUCAGAGCCCAGUGACGAUGAUUUUCUAGAGUCUGAACUAAAAGCCCACGGAUUAAACAAGGACUUUGAAUCGGAAAAAUUAUUCUGAUCAGAGUACAGCUAUGACAGCAGAUGAUCCAAAGGUCCAAUAAGAAUGUGUUUUUUUUUUAAUCUGGGUAACAUUGGAAAUAAUGAAGAAAUAAAAUGAACCACAAACAUUUAA